GCUGCUGGUACACACUGGCUCUCCCUUGAUUGUCCCCGAAGUCACCUUCGUGAAAUUCAGGAAAAAUGAUCGGCCGAAGACUUCUGCAGGCGAGGAAUGUGGUCGCCAGGAAGAUCUCGACGACAGCCCCUCGACUCCAUGAUCACGAACCCUUCGGAGUGCUUGGAAGCAAUCUCCCGUUCAACAUGGAGAACCCGUGGACUCUUGCUAUUAAGAUGUCCUUAUUCUUCGGAUCGGGAUUCGUGAUUCCAUUCUUGACGGUGCGUCACCAGCUUCUCUCGUCGAGAGGAUAGAGUGGAGUCCAAACUCUAGAGUAACCCCGGCUGACAUUGGAGCCAUGUCGGCGAUAUUGUUCAAUAAACCAUAUUAAUAGCGUA